rnacentral:lncRNA from 13 species
CUUCAGUUUGAUUAAGUGAUGCCUAGGAGUAAUUGUUUUUCUCUGGGUAUGAGCCAAAAAAGAGAGGUAAUUGGUCCUUCAGUUAUAAUUUAUUCUCUCUUUCUGCCCCUCCCAUACACAGGUAAAAAAAAGGCAAUAAUAACGAGUCUUUGGUUAGCAAGUUUUUCAUAGAAUUAAUCCAGUUUACUUCUUGUGAAAAUUUUGCCUAUCCCCCAUGCAUCUUUUCCUAACAUGGUAAAUAAUGCAUUUCAGAGAGCGUUUCCUUGACUUUUUUUUACUAUUACUUAAUUCUUCUAAAAUGUCACAUUUUCAGUAUCAGAAGUUGCUCAUUUCUUGUUGGGAACUGUGGUUUAUUGAGGAGGGGGAGUUCCUUUAAGGCUAGUAAUACUUUGGAAUCCCCAGGGAUGGUCCAUGACAAAAGAGAUUAGAAUUCUGAAGUGACACCCUUCCAACCACAAGUAGUCCAUCUAUCAUCUGAGUCAUAGUCAUCAACCAGUUUUAGACGUCAUUAUCUUGUGGGCUUUGAGUGACUCUGCAUCUCCAGACUAGCCAAUCCUGGGACACUUGCAACAUCUUUUCUGCACCUACGAAAUUAUGGACCAGAUUCACCAACGGAAUUGCCAAUUUGUGAGUUAUUCAUCCGUCAGACAUUUUGAGGGGAGCUUAUUCUAUAUGACUGUGCUUGACGCUGGUGAUGUAGAGAAAAGACAGAAUGCCUUCUUGCUAUUGAACGAUGGAGUGAGGAGACGGUGCAAGUGAUGCAGAAAAGGAGGGUAAAGUGAGACACUGGGAGUCUGUUUAUCCAGGUGAGAGAACGGGACAGCGUGACACAACGGGGGACAAUUGGGAGAAGAGGAAGGGA